UUGCCGGCUCCCGCCGCAGCUCUGAGCAGCUCCGAGCCGCGCUCCGCCCAGAUGGUGCCGAAAGUGAAAUAGGAAGCUCCUGUCCCUCCCAAAGCCAAAGUCAAAGCAAAGGCUUUGAAGGCAAAGAAAGCAGUGAUGAAAGAUGUCCACCGCCACCAAAAAAAGAAAGAAAAAAGGAGGAAGAAGAUCUACACGCUGCCCACCUUCCUACUGCCCAAGAGACUGCAGCUCCCAAAACAGCCCAAAUAUCCUGGGAAGAGCGCCCCCAGGAGAAACAAGCUUGACCACUAUGCCAUCAUCAAGUUCCCCCUGACUACCGAGUCAGCCGUGAAGACAGAAGACCACAAUGCACUGUGUUCAUGGCGGAUGUCAAGGCCAACAAGCACCAGAUCAAGCGGGCUGUGGAGAAGCUCUAUCAGGCCUGAUGGAGAGAAGAAGGUAUAUGUUCAACUAGUUCCCGAUAAUGAUGCUCUGGAUGUUGUCAACAAAAUGGAAUCAUCUAAACUGAGUUUAGCUGGCUAAUUCUAAAUAUGAAAAUUUUUUCACUGUAAAAAAA